UGAUAAGCCAAUGGUGCGAAGCUACCAUCUGAGGGAUUAUGACUGAACGCCUCUAAGUCAGAAUCCCGCCUGGAAAGCGACGAUGCAUUCGUGCCUCGGCCUCGAGAGGCGUAGCUAGACGGCCGCGUGGCCGUGGAAAGAGCCCGAUUCCGACCCGAGAGGCCGCGGCAAGAGGCGGCCUCGAAGUCGGUGGAUCCUCCUGCUCGAAAGGCGGGGUGCUAAACCAUUCGCAGACGACCUAGUUGAAGAUCGGGGUGUCGUGAUCACUAGAGCAGUACAUCUCACUGCGAUUUGUUGAGAGUAAGCCUCAAGAUCUGUCGGUUUGU
rnacentral:ncRNA from 1 species